GAUGAACGCUAGCUACAGGCUUAACACAUGCAAGUCGAGGGGAAACGAUAGAGAAAGCUUGCUUUUUCUAGGCGUCGACCGGCGCACGGGUGAGUAACGCGUAUCCAACCUGCCCAUCACUUGGGGAUAACCUUGCGAAAGUAAGACUAAUACCCAAUGACGUCCAUAGAAGACAUCUGAAAUGGAUUAAAGAUUUAUCGGUGAUGGAUGGGGAUGAGUCUGAUUAGCUUGUUGGCGGGGUAACGGCCCAACAAGGCGACGAUCAUUAGGGGUUCUGAGAGGAAGGUCCACCACAGUGGAACUGAGACACGGUCCAAACUCCUACGGGAGGCAGCAGUGAGGAAUAUUGGUCAAUGGACGAGAGUCUGAACCAGCCAAGUAGCGUGCAGGAUGACGGCCCUAUGGGUUGUAAACUGCUUUUAUAAGGGAAUAAAGUGGGAGUCGUGACUCCUUUUGCAUGUACCUUAUGAAUAAGGACCGGCUAAUUCCGUGCCAGCCGCCGCGGUAA
rnacentral:rRNA from 1 species